rnacentral:rRNA from 1 species
GUCGAGAAUCUUUCACAAUGGGGGCAACCCUGAUGGAGCGACGCCGCGUGGAGGAUAAGGUCUUCGGAUUGUAAACUCCUGUAAUGCGUGAACAAGGUUGCUUGGAUAAUACCUGAGCAAAUUGAUGGUAGCGCAAGAGGAAGAGAAGGCUAACUCUGUGCCAGCAGCCGCGGUAAUACAGAGGUCUCAAGCGUUGUUCGGAAUCACUGGGCGUAAAGGGUGCGUAGGUGGCGUGGUAAGUCAGAUGUGAAAGCCCGGGGCUCAACCUCGGAACUGCAUCCGAUACUGCCAUGCUAGAGUACUGGAGAGGUGACUAGAAUUCUCGGUGUAGCAGUGAAAUGCGUAGAUAUCGAGAGGAAUACCAAAGGCGUAGGCAGGUCACUGGACAGUUACUGACACUGAGGCACGAAGGCCAGGGGAGCGAACGGGAUUAGAUACCCUUGUAGUCC